AGUUUGUGAUGUGGGCAUCUUCUAAGAAAUUUUUUGAAUCUUUCCCAUGCUUUAUUUAACGAUUCAUUAUCUAUCUGCAUAAAAUUAGUACUAUCAUUACGCAUCU